AGAGUUCGAUCCUGGCUCAGGAUGAACGCUGGCGGCGUGCUUAACACAUGCAAGUCGAACGAGAAGUGGAGACGGAAACCUUCGGGCGGAAGACUUUAUUUCGAGUGGCGGACGGGUGAGUAACGCGUGGGUAACCUGCCUCAUACAGGGGGAUAACAGUUGGAAACGACUGUUAAUACCGCAUAAGACCACAGCACCGCAUGGUGCGGGGGUAAAAACUCCGGUGGUAUGAGAUGGACCCGCGUUCGAUUAGCCAGUUGGCGGGGUAACGGCCCACCAAAGCGACGAUCGAUAGCCGAUCUGAGAGGAUGACCGGCCACAUUGGGACUGAGACACGGCCCAAACUCCUACGGGAGGCAGCAGUGGGGAAUAUUGCACAAUGGGGGAAACCCUGAUGCAGCGACGCCGCGUGAGUGAAGAAGUAUUUCGGUAUGUAAAGCUCUAUCAGCAGGGAAGAAAAUGACGGUACCUGACUAAGAAGCCCCGGCUAACUACGUGCCAGCAGCCGCGGUAAUACGUAGGGGGCAAGCGUUAUCCGGAUUUACUGGGUGUAAAGGGAGCGCAGACGGCUCUGCAAGUCUGAAGUGAAAGCCCGCGGCUUAACCGCGGGACUGCUUUGGAAACUGCAAGGCUUGAGUAUCGGAGGGGCAGGCGGAAUUCCUAGUGUAGCGGUGAAAUGCGUAGAUAUUAGGAAGAACACCGGUGGCGAAGGCGGCCUGCUGGACGAAAACUGACGUUGAGGCUCGAAGGCGUGGGGAGCAAACAGGAUUAGAUACCCUGGUAGUCCACGCGGUAAACGAUGAAUACUAGGUGUUGGUGCCCAAAGGGCAUCGGUGCCGUCGCAAACGCAAUAAGUAUUCCACCUGGGGAGUACGUUCGCAAGAAUGAAACUCAAAGGAAUUGACG
rnacentral:rRNA from 1 species